CUGGCGCUGACCACCGCCGCGCGCACACACACGCACGCACGCACCCACGGACGCACACACCCACGUCUGUCACCACCACCACCACCACCACUUCUACGGUCACGAUGGGCACGCGGCAAUGGGGGGUCAGAGCCUGGCUGGUGGGGUGCCUGGCCAUGCUCACAGUCUACUCGGUCUCGGCCCACGACACCGCCGCGGGGAGGAACGCUGACUUCGAGGCUGCCGUCAUCGAGGACCCUUGCCCGUCCGCUGUUUCUGCCGAUGAAACUCUACGGUGUCGGGUGAAGCGCGAGACAGGGGAGCCCUCAGCCCUCACCCCUGAAGAGCCCUCCAUACUGCUGGUCGUGAAGAAACAACCGGCAAACCAGGAAGACGAGGACAAGGAGGAUGAUCAGGAGUGGGCCCAAUCACUGGUGGAGAUCAACAAGCUUCCAAUGAUGGGGGACGACGUGAUAUCCAAACUCCAUACAGUUGUGAGGCUCCGACGCAACACACCGGAGCGACCACACGCCCAGCCAAGCUACAGGCAGGAAGUGAGGCGGCCAAGAUUUCGACCAUGGGGAGGCAAGCGAAGCGACAACGCCGUAAUAGGACGAGGCAGGCUGGGGGACACUCGGGGCAUAGCAGGACGAGCCAGACUGGAGGAUAUUCUACGAGUGUGGGUUGCCAAUCGAGGAGCCCUGGCCAAUGGGAUGGUCUGGCGUGCUGCUGCGCUUAACCCUGGAUUUGAGGCAGACACGAGGUCCAAUGUUGACACGAAGAGAAUAGCGUUCAGUCCGUGGGCAGGGAAGAGGAGCGAAGAGGAUAAGAGAGGAGGGUUCAGCGCGUGGGCAGGAAAACGAAGUGAGGAAAACUACAAGAGGGGGUUUAGCGCUUGGGCAGGGAAAAGGAGUGAAGACGAGGAUGAGAAGAGAGGGUUUAGUGCUUGGGCAGGAAAGAGAAGCGAAGACGAGGAUGAGAAGAGAGGUUUUAGUGCUUGGGCAGGGAAGAGAAGCGAAGACAAGGAUGAGAAGAGAGGUUUUAGUGCUUGGGCAGGGAAGAGAAGUGAAGACGAGGAUGAGAAGAGAGGUUUUAGUGCUUGGGCAGGGAAGAGAAGUGAAGACGAGAGUGACAAGAGAGGCUUCAGUGCAUGGGCAGGGAAGAGAGACGACGGGGGCGACGAGAAGCGAGGGUUCAGUGCCUGGGCCGGGAAACGCAGCGACAAUGAUUGGGAAGGGACGCGAAGGAAGAGAAGCACCGACAAUGAAGAAAAGCGGAAGUUCAGCGCUUGGGCAGGGAAGAGGAGCGAGGAGAAUGAUAAGAGAGGCUUCAGUGCAUGGGCCGGAAAAAGAAGUGAGGAUGAAGAUAAAAAGAGAGGUUUUAGCGCCUGGGCGGGCAAGAGAAGUGACAACGGAGAUGAUAAGAGAGAAUUCAGCGCUUGGGCGGGGAAGCGAGAUGAGGUUACCGGCGAUAAGCGAGGAUUUAGUGCCUGGGCCGGGAAACGCAGCAAUGAAGAGAGUCGGGCAACAUUGAGCACCUUGGUGGGCAGGAACGAUCCACUCGGCCCUUUUACGUGGAAGAACCAUAACAGCAAUGAGGAAGAGAGGCAGUUCAAUGCUCUAGCGGAAUGGAUGGACCAACUUGGACCGAGGGAGGGCAAGAGAAGGUAGAGGGACAGCAGGGUACGUACAGCAGGCCAAGCUUCGGAGGGCGGCCAACUGCUUCUAGUAACUAAUGUAGGGUUUCUCAGCUUACCAAGAACACAGCCCCCAGAGCCAACAACGACCACCACCACCACCAUCACUACCAGCACCACCCACCACCUCCACAACCUCCUGCUGCCAGUAAUACAUCAGCCUGGACUCAAGACAACCUCAGCCCUGACACCGGCUAGAUGAUACUUCUCAGUGUUGUAGGCCCUAGAUCCUCACCUAACCAUCAGUAAUGCCUCGGAAAUACAAGAAAGUUAAGAUGGCAAUUCAUACAUAUCAACAGUGUUUCAGAAAGGGAGAAGUUAUAUUAAAUGAAAGACAUACUAGACUGAACUGAAGAUAAUGUGGCAAUAGUCAAGAGAUAAUUUCUAUUAAAUAAGAUAGAAAUGCUGGACUGAAUUUACUAUUGUGUGGUGAUGGUUGAGAGAUGAGUUCUGUUGAAUAAUGUAGAAAUACCUGACUUAUUUGAACAUUAUACGUAAAUAGUUGAGAUGAGUUCUAUUAAUAAAAGAGAAAUGCUGGACUAAAUUGAAUAUGUUUGGUAGUAAAUGAGAGGUAAAUUGUGUCAAAUCAAAUGAAGAUGCUGGGAAUGGGUUAAAAUCUACAAUACAACGAAUUAGCCAUAACUUAAACCUGUGAACCUGAUGCUGAAAUUAACCACAAAAAAAUGUACAGAGAGAAGAAAUUUAACUAACCCAUAUUAACCAAAUCAAAUGGACUUCCAUAACUAAAUAUACUAAAAACUGGAGACUUAAAUCAUCUUCAUAUAAUAACAAAGAUGAUUAUAAAUAGAUAUGAAUAGAUUAAGAGGAGGGUAUCAGGACACCUCUUCUCCCGAAAUUGACCUAUCUUUCAGCCACUCCCCUGGACUUUUUUUAGGAGCAGUGAGUAGUGGGCUUUUUUUUCAUCAUUGUUUCCUUUUUUUGUGUGCACUUGACCUAUCCCCUUUGCUGUAAAAAAGAAAAACAAUUACAUACUCUAUUGUAAGAAGGAUAAUUUCAACUGUAUCAUGUUAAUAUGUGCGGUGUAUGUGUGUGGAAAGCCAGAGCAGUCUUAUAAUGAAACAAGAACUCCUAUUAUUACAGAAGCUAAUAAUAAAAAUGAGUAUUACAAGAUGAUGCUGACGACUUAAGAACAGUGUGGUGAUGACGUUAUGGUGCGUGCGCUCGGCAAAGUGAGUGUGGUCUUUUAUGAAUCGAGGACACCGUUGCCAGAUUGUCUAACUCAGAGCAUAGUAUUUACCGGUUUCUGACGCCUAACUAUUGCCAAGAAACAUCAGGAAUUAACUAUUUUAACGACAAUUAUAAGUGAAUCUCCUUAUUGGGGUCCAUGAGACAGUUUUUGGGUCGGAAGUUGGUAAAUAUAAGAGGCUGAGUAAGACAAUCUGGUAUCGUUGAUCAAGGGUCCAGGAAAUAUUAGCCGAGAUGUAAAAAUCACCACAGGACAAAAAAAGUGUAAUCUCUUGUAGAAUAUUUCCCUUGCCUGCUGUUUAGUAUAUCACGGCGUGUGGGUGUGUGGGUGGGAAGGUGGCACAUAAAUUUUCAGGACUCACAGAAAUUGUAAAUAAAAAUGGCUUAUAAAAAUAGUACUGGUGGAAAGAAAAGAGGAAAAAUUUAUUCAUGACAGUAAAAUGAAGAAUAUGUAUGUAUAAAAAAGUCUAUAUGGUAGUAAGAUAAUUAAAUAAUCUCUCUCUCUCUCUCUCUCUCUUACUAUAUAUCUCUCCUCUGAUUCACUUCUGUAGCUUUAGUAAGGCUGGACUAAGGCUGCAAUCUCUCUCUCUCUCUCUCUGGCUUGUCUCAUGUCCCUCAGUAUAGAAGGUUUGAGCAUUCACCUAAAACAACCCCCACUACUAUUACUACUACUACUACUACUACUACUACUACGACUACUGCUACUACCAUUACUGCCAGCACCACCACAAUCCACCACUGCACUGGGCCAAUAACAGCAACAGCACUUCAACGUAACACAACACUGGGAUACAAGAACCCGAGCAGGAUGUUGUGAGUUCAUGUGAUACUAAAUAAAAAUAGAGCAGGCAGUCCAUCUAAUUUUUGUCUCCCCUAUUAACCCCUUGAGUGAGCAUUUCCUACCAGAGGACAUCACCAAGCUACAGGAAUGGAAUAAAAAGUGGCUGCUACAAUUCAAUGAAGAAAAAUGUAGUCAUGCGUUUUGGGAGGGGAUAUCCAGCAUACCAAUACCACAUGGGAAACACUCAACUACCCACCACAGAGGCAGAGAAAGACCAGCUGGGAGUAUAAGUUACCAGGCUAGCAGUGAAGGGAUAUCCAGCACACCAAUGCCACACGGGAAACACUUUCCACAACAGAGGCAGAGAAAGACCUGGGAGUAUAAGUUACCAGGCUACCAGAGAAAGACAAAUCCGUGCCAAUUGCAGCGGACGAGUUAAAAUCUCCAUUACAACAAACUAGCCUAACUUAAACCUGUGAACCUGAUGCUGAAAUUAACAAAACAAGGGAUAUAAGAGAAAAAAAUAAAGAUUCAAUGAAGAGAUGUGAAAAUGAGACAAGGAAGCAAAAAGGAGAGGGAAAUAAAGGAGAAGAAAGGCAUAGAUAAAAUGUGCAAAAGUGUGUAAAUGGAAAUGAAAGAGGAGUAAAGAGAAAAAGGGAGAAAAAUAUAAUAUUCUUCUUUAUAUUUUUUCCCUUUUAUGUGAAGAGAUGUGAAAAAUAGACAAGGAAGCAAAAAGGAGAGGGAGAUAAAGGGAAAAAAAGGCAUAGGUAAAAGGUGCAAAAAAUGUGUCAAUGGAAAUGAAAAGAGUAAAGAGAAAAAAGGGAGAAAAAUAUAAAAUUCUUCUCUAUAUUUUUUCCCUCUUCUUAACGUGACUGGACGAGGCGAAACAAAAGAAAACUCAUCUUGGACUCGACAUUUUCCUCCUUAAUUUUGACAUGACAAGGUAAGGAAAAGGAUAAUGGAAAAAACUGUAUUCCGAUUCUAUAUUCUCUUUUUCUCCUAAGAUGACAAGAUAAAAAAUUAAAUGCCUAACUUUUAAUCCAAUAUUAUCCUCUCAAAAAACAUUAAACACCAAAUUUUCAACCCAAUAUUUUCCUCUUAACCCGGUAGCUGCGGGGAUCAUGUUUCUUAAAGGUCCCUCUAAGUGAGAAAAAUUAGAAAAAAUCAUCACUCACACAAACCAUUUCAUAAUAUAUAUCAACGCAUUUGUGAGCAGUUUAUGCAUCAUUUAUUUUGGGGGGUUUAUAUCAUGGCAAAAAUUUGGCCCAUCACUGGUGCAUGGUAAAGCCACAAAUUUGGCCCAUCGCUGCUACCGGGUUAAAAAGCAAUAAACACCUAAUUUUUAACCCUAUAUUUUCCUCCUAAAAACAAUUAACACCUAAUUUCUAACCCUAUAUUUUCCUCUGAACAUUAAACACCUACUCUUUAACCCAAAAUUUUCCUCUUAAAAAACAAUAAACACCUAAUUUUUAACCCCAUCCAUUCCUCUUUCUUAUUACAACACAAUGCAAGGAGACAGAAUAAAAGAAAUAUCAAUCUUGACUAUAUAUAUUCUUCUUUUACCUCCCAACAACAUGACUGAGAGGGAAAAUACAAGCAGAAUCUCACUUUCGUACAUUUUUCUUUUUCCCUUCAAGCAGUGGUUCUUAAAUGCCCCCUCUAGGAAUGGGUCUUCCCUUCACACACACACCCCUUGCAUAUUACCCCAGGCUCUUAAGAUAAAAUAUUCCAACAACAGACUCUCCACCAAAAACUGACCUCUCUUUUGGCCACUCUCUACUUUUAUCUUUUUUAGGAGCAGCAUUUGGUGGGGUUUUUUUCAUGCCCUUGAGCUGCUUCCUUUCCUGUUAAAAAAAGAAAGAGAAAAAAAAAAAGACACCUCUCCACCUGAAAUUUUGACCUCUCUUCUAGCCUCUCGCUCUGUUUCCUUUCAUCGGAGCAGCAUCUGGGGGGCUUAUUUUUUCUCUUUUUUUUUUUUUGUCGCUUUUGUUUUUGCCCUUGAGCUGCCUCCCUUACUGUACAAAAAAAAAUAAAAGAUCUGAUGUUUUCCCCAGGGCUCACAACCCCUGAAAACUACAAACACCCCUCAGUUUAACCCCUAAAGGACAGCUAACGGGAAUUCCCACUCAGGCGGAGAAAGGCAGAAAGUCGGGGUGCAGGAAUUCCCGUCAUCCGAUUUCCCACCAAGAUUUGUACUUUCCAACAUCAUAUCGUCACCCUCAUAAAAUAAUCGCCUCAGUCAUUUUUCAGCGAUUUCCAGGUUUUGUCUAUAUCAGUUUUUCAGCAUAUGACGCCCAUUUUUGUAUAGUUGCCUUCAUCAUUCAGGGUUUGAGUAUCCUAGAAUUGGUCUCUUCAUUUCUGCCUAAACCUUAAGCUAAAUGAAAUAAUGAUACUUCUUUUCUGAUUUCCUGAGAAGUAGAAAAUAAUGACUCAGGUGGUCUGUUUACGAAGGUGACGAUAUCUCCGCCGUGCUGCAACCGAGGGACUUCUAGUUUCUUUCAUCGGGUAAAUGAAAGAUUGGCGAUGUAAAAGGACUAUGAACUAUUGUGUGUUGGUUUCAAACUGCCACACAGGGCACUGAUGAAGAACACCUAUAUCGCCAAAUUUUAUCAACGCGGCACACACUCACGAGCAGAAAAUCGCCCUCUAGCCCGUCCUUUAGGGGUUAAGAACCACUGCUUUAAGGACAUGAAGAAAGACAUAAACUUACUCUCUAAGGUUUACUGAUACCAGCCAGCCCACCUUAAGACACUGAACACAGACCAAGAUUGAGAUACACUUCAACCCAUCUCUGCAUCACAACACAGAAGACUUCACAUUGGAUCUUUCUGUUGCAUUGCUAGGUCUGUUUGAAUCUCUUGUUCCAUGUGUAAGGCCGUUGUACUGUCUCUCCACUGCACAUCUACAUCAGCUACAGUCCGAAUUACAUAUUAUGACUAGUGUUUGCUUUCCCUAUUUCAAGCUAUGGCAGUAUUUCCUUUUUUCGCGGCAUAUUCACAUUAAUUUACAUCCCCUAUUACGUAAGACUCAAGGGCAACGUUGCCAGACUGUCGUACUCUGCCUCUUAUGUUUGCCGAUUUCCGACCCCAAAACUGCUUUCAUUACCCAAAUAACUGCCUUCGUAUAUGGUUAUCGUUUAAAUGGUUAAUUAUUGGUGCUUCUUGGCAACAGCUAUGGGCCAGAAACCGGUAAAAACGCAGCUCUUGAGUACGAUAAUCUGGCAACCGUGCUCAAGGGCCAAUGAGACGGAGAUGAGCACCGAGGCAAUGCACAACUAUAGUGUAUGCCCUAAACUAUACCUUUACCUAUUUACUUCAUUCUGCAUCCUCUAUUAUAUAUUAUGAACGCAUCUUCUUUCUCUCUAAGGUGGACUCGUAUUGAAAUUUACAGCUUCUAUUGCACCUUCUUCUAGAUAUUAUGACUGUACCUUCUUUCUCUCUAAGGUGCACUCGUAUUGAAAUUCACAGCUCCUAUUACAACCUCUAAUAUAUCAUGACAGAACCUUCUUUUUCUCUACAAUUCAUUCGUAUUAAAUUUAGCUUCUAUCACACACUAUGGCUGUACUUUCUUUCCUUUCAGAGUGCAUUAAAAUUACAUCUAUUAAAAUACCACAGAGGAGUUCAGGAAUAACCUUUACAUGUCCUCAAACAGCCACUGUUUAUCCCUAAGCAAACAUUAAAUUCUAUACCAUACCUCUUCUUUCUCUCCACCCUUCUUGGCAUGCUUAAAAAUUAGAAUACAUCACACUCACAGGAAAUAAACUUAAUAAACUAUAAGCCAAUGGAUGCAGAAAUGAAGCACAAAAAAUAAACUUCAUAAACUAUAAGCCACUGGAUGCAGAAAUUAAGCACAGUAUUAAAAAUAAACAAAAAUUAAGUUUAACACAUCUUUAUACAGAAAGGAACACUACUAAGGCAUUGGAAUGUACGUGAAUGGGAGCGGAUUCCUUUACUGUAAAAAAAAAAAAUGAUGACAGCUGUGGUGGUGGUGGCAAUGGUGAUGCAUGAUAAUAAUGAUGAUGUAUGAGUGGAAAAUGAUGAUGAUGGUGAUGAUGGCAGCAGUAGAGAAAGUGGGAAAGUUGAGAAGCACAAUACAGCAGAGGGCAAAGGAACUGCAUCUGGAAAUCCUUGCCACUAAAACUAAAUGUAAGAGAAAUGUAGACUAUUAAAACUACGACCGAAAACCGCCAAGAAAAUAAAAUAUGAAGAGAAUGUAAUAUAUUGACCAAAGAGAAAAGUAUUACCAAGCAUAGUAAAGAAAUAAGAUCAAUGACAAACUAAACUGAUUGUAAGAGGAAUGUAGACUAAUAAAACUAUGACAGAAAACCACUGAGAAAAUAAAAUAUGAAGAGAACUUAUUAUACAGGACAAAGAGUAAAGAAGUAUGUAGAACCAUUUAGUAGAGAAAUAAAAUCUAUGGGAAACUAAACUAUAUGUAAGAGAAAUGUAGACUAAUGAAACUAAGACAGAAAACCACUGAGAAAAUAAAAUAUGAAGAGAACUUAUUAUACUGGACAAAGAGUAAAGAUGUAUGUAGAACCAUUUAGUCGAGAAAUAAAAUCUAUGGCAAACUAAACUAAAUUCAUGAGUAAUAUAGACUAAUAAAACUAAGACAGAAAAGCAAUGAGAAAAUAAAAAUGAAGAGAAUGUAACAUAUUGACCAAAGAGCAAAGUAUUACCAAGCAUAGUAAAGAAAUAAAAUCAAUAAAAAACUAGACUGAUUGUAAGAGGAAUGAAGACUAAUAAAACUCAGACAGAUAAGCAAUAGAAAAAAAAAUAUGAAGAGAACGUAAUAUAUACUGGCCAAAGAGUAAAGUAGAACGAAGCUUAGUGGAGAAAUAAAAUCAAUGACAAACAAAACCAUAAGUAAGAGGAAAUUAUGACGGAAAACCACUUGGAAAAUAAAAUAUGAAGAGAACGGCCAAAGAGUACAAGACCGAGCUAAGUCGAGAAAUAAAAUCUACGACAAACUGAACCAAAUGUAAGAAGAAUGUAGUAUAAUAAAACAUUGUCGGAAAAACACAGAGAAAAUUAAACCUGUAGACUACGUAAUAUAAGACCAAAGAUCAAACUUAGUCGAGAAGUGAUAUCAAUGGCAAACUAAACCAAAUGUAAAUGAGAUGUAAAGUAAUAAAACUAUAACAAAAAUGCUGAGAAAAAAAAAUCUGAAGGAAACAUAAUAUAUUGGCCAAAGAGUUCAGUAGACCCAAGCUUAGUCGAGAAGUGAAAUCAAUAACAAACCAAAACUGAAUGUAAGACAGACUCGGUUCUUUAAUAAGUUUUGAUUCUUGUCUGCUUCCAUUCAGGACCUGAGCCAUAGUCCAACACAGCAAGUUUGUCAGCUACCGAACCAAACACAAAACACUAUGAAAAUUCCUUAUGCGUACAGAAUUUGGUGUUGAUACAGAAGGUAAGAAAUUUAAGGAACCCACACCAGAAAUUUAGUAUCGAGUUAGUUUAGUUGGCUUAGUAUUGAGUUUAGAGUAGAAAAAACAGACUAUUAUGGAGAAUAUACAUUAGUUUGGGUGCUUACAAUGACACCUGAACUUAGUUAAUAAAUAAAUAAAUAAAUAAGAAAGGAAAAUAAAAAAUAUCACACUCAAGACUCAAGAACUGGAUGAAACCAAAGCAAAGUAUUAAAUAACUAUAUAAAGGAAGAACUGAUUAAAAAAAGAGUAUCCCCUAAAAUUAAACAUUCAACUAAGACACUCAUUAUCACCAUCGACCAGACUAGGCUAAGUUUCCUGAGGUACACACUGGAAUGCGGACAAAGCGAGGCAAAUCAAACCACCGAGGAAGGCAAAACAUAAUGGGCCGUAUUACAAAUCGAAUCCGAGAAGUUUCGGGUCCCUACAGAGUUCAGUUUAGGGGCUGUAUUACAAGUCGGAUCCGAGAAGUUUCGGGUCUCUACAGAGGUCAGGAUGAAUAACUCUGUAGGGACCCAAAACUUUUCAGGUUCAACUUAUAAUACGGCCUAAUGAAAUAGUACAAAUCAGAGACAUUUCGAAGCUGCUUUUACUUAUCAAAUUCACCUAACAAACCUAACCAAACCUGACCAUAGAGAAGAAAAAAAACAUAUAGACAGCAUGAAUCAGAAAAACAUAUAGAGACAGUAUGAAUCAGACAUUACUAAGCUGCUUUUUGUUAUCAAAUACACCUAACAAACUUAACCUAACCUGACCACCAAGAAAAGAAAAACACAUAGAGACAGCAUGAAUCAGAGACAUUACCAGUUAUCAAAUCACCUAAUGAACAUAACCUAACCUAACCACCGAAAAAAGCAAAGCAUACAGAAAGAGCAUUGAUUAGAGAUGUUCCCACGUUUCAUUUAGUUAUCAAACACAAUUAACAAACCUAUCCUAACCUAUUUCCAAGUUGCUUUUAGUUAUCAAACCACCUAAUAAACCUAACCUAACCUAACCUUACCACCAAAAAAGCAAAGCAUACAGAAAGAGCAUUGAUCCAAGGUGUUUGCAAGCUUCCACUUCUAGUUAUCAAGCCAUCUGAUAAACCUAACCUAACUUAACCACCAGGAAAACCAAAGAAAUAGAAAA